CAAUAAGUGUUCAAUGGCACUUUUAAAAUCCGAUUACCCACCUUAUGUGUGCAAUGUAAGGAGGAGGGGGUAUAAUUUUGUCAGACCUAUUUUAAGGGUCUGGUUUCCCCCUCUUCUCAUUAUACAUACCAAUCUUCUCUUGUUGUCUACUUUUGAGUAUAAAAAAACUCGGAAUA
rnacentral:misc_RNA from 1 species